rfam:Streptomyces sp. Root431 contig_3, whole genome shotgun sequence.
UCGGCCCCGGUUCACGUCUUCCGCAAUCCGCGGAGGCGACCCGGUGCC